CUCGGCGAACUAGUCUGACUCUAGAGCGGGACUUUCGAAGUCGGUGAUCUAGUUGUUGACUGAGUUGCGAAAAGCUGUGGCGUAUAUCCUGGAAGUUAUGAGAAUCCCGGCAAGGGAAAGGAUUGCCAUAACGAUCAAAUUGGAGAAAAAUCUCAUAGGCGUAACUGCAUUGUGAUUGAGUAAGGUAGUCUGAAUCUAGGGGAAGGACGUCAAGGAGCUUAUGGAAAGGAUCAUACAGAGCACGGGCACGAUAUA
rnacentral:misc_RNA from 1 species